rnacentral:rRNA from 1 species
GACGAACGCUGGCGGCGUGCUUAACACAUGCAAGUCGAGCGGAAAGGCCCUUCGGGGUACUCGAGCGGCGAACGGGUGAGUAACACGUGAGUAACCUGCCCCAGACUUUGGGAUAACCCUCGGAAACGGGGGCUAAUACCGGAUACGACACAGCUUCGCAUGGGGUCUGUGUGGAAAGUUUUUCGGUUUGGGAUGGGCUCGCGGCGUAUCAGCUUGUUGGUGGGGUGAUGGCCUACCAAGGCGACGACGGGUAGCCGGCCUGAGAGGGCGACCGGCCACACUGGGACUGAGACACGGCCCAGACUCCUACGGGAGGCAGCAGUGGGGAAUAUUGCACAAUGGGCGGAAGCCUGAUGCAGCGACGCCGCGUGAGGGAUGACGGCCUUCGGGUUGUAAACCUCUUUCAGCAGGGACGAAGCGUAAGUGACGGUACCUGCAGAAGAAGCGCCGGCCAACUACGUG